rnacentral:lncRNA from 1 species
CAGCCCACCGCUGCCAGUGGCGAGCUCUCAUUGGCUCGGGGGAAUGUCAGGUUCAAGAGGCACUAAGCAUGGAAUGCUAAUGGGCAGCAGUCCAGGCAAAGACCACAGUGGCUGCCCCACCCACACCCCUUGCAUCCUGGUGGAACUAUUUGAUGAGUUUUCCUCAGUCAAAUUGGAAGAGGUGGGUGGCACUCUUUCAUUAUUUCACGUAGGCUGGCCUUAACUUGUGAUUCUCCAUGGUGCUUGGAUUAUAGGCAUAGACCACCAAAG